rnacentral:RNase_P_RNA from 1 species
GUUGGUCGACCUGUCGCUUGCGCUGAAAAGCGCACGAGGAAAGUCCGGGCAACACAGAGUAUCCUACUUCCUAACAGAAAGCUGUCCGUGAGGGUAGAGUAACGCAGAAGAAAAUAACCGCCGGCUUUUAUAGUCGGUAAGGGUGAGAAGGUGGGGUAAGAGCCUACCAGACUUGUGGCAACAUGAGUGCUGUGCGUCUUAGGAGUUGUAAGGUCAUGUAUACCGGCAUUUGAGGGCUACUCGCUCAACGCUGGAGGGUAGACCGCUAAAGCCGACAUGGUGACAUGCGGCUCAGAUAAAUGACAGGUGCCCUACUAUUAUGGUAGAGAACAGAACCCGGCUUACAGACUGGCUGCU